UGCCUGAUUUCAAGUAAGCUCCAAUCUAGAGUUUAAUUCCACACCGAAGGCUCUUCCAACCCUUUUAAUAUUUAACUGUACUUGAGUGAGUAGUGAGCCUAUAACCAGGGCUGAGAUCAAUGUUUAAUUGAUGAUUCUA